rnacentral:rRNA from 1 species
UACGUAGGGACCGAGCGUUGUCCGGAUUCAUUGGGCGUAAAGAGCUCGUAGGCGGCUGUUCAAGUCGAACGUGAAAACUCGGAGCUCAACUCCGAGCCUGCGUUCGAUACUGGACGGCUAGAGUCUGGUAGGGGGAUCUGGAAUUCCUGGUGUAGCGGUGGAAUGCGCAGAUAUCAGGAGGAACACCGGUGGCGAAGGCGGGUCUCUGGGCAUCUCCUGACGCUGAGGCGCGAAAGCGUGGGGAGCAAACGGG